rnacentral:rRNA from 1 species
AGAUUGAACGCUGGCGGCAGGCCUAACACAUGCAAGUCGAGCGGUAGAGAGGUGCUUGCAUCUCUUGAGAGCGGCGGACGGGUGAGUAAUGCCUAGGAAUCUGCCUAGUGGUGGGGGAUAACGUUCGGAAACGGACGCUAAUACCGCAUACGUCCUACGGGAGAAAGCGGGGGACCUUCAGGCCUCGCGCCAUUAGAUGAGCCUAGGUCGGAUUAGCUAGUUGGUGAGGUAAUGGCUCACCGAAGGCGACGAUCCGUAACUGGUCUGAGAGGAUGAUCAGUCA